GGUCCGGCGGCCUGCGGGGUGGGCAGAGGUCGGCGGUGGCCCUGGCCGCGCCGGGGGGGCCGCGCCGGGGCUGAGGGUCCCAGGUGAUGCUUUUCCAGGAGAUCCUUUUGGUUUUUUUCCCCCAUCCCAAGGUUAAUUUGGCAGCACUGUAUUUUGCAAAAUGUGCAUUGCCUUCCCUGUGUCUUUCAUUGGAACAGAGAGAAAUCAGAAAAGCUUUUCAAAAAUACCUGCAAGAAAAAAAGCAAGAAAAAAGUCUGUACCCAGUUCGGGGGGGGGGGGGGGCAGUUAAUACAGCAGAUGCUUCUCCUUGAUGUUUAAAAUUUUGCUAGAUUUUACUUUUUCUUGUAUUUCACUUCACUGAAAACCGGUGGGCUUGCAGUGUUUGUUCUUUCCCAUCGUUGCAGUUUUGGACCUGCUUGGUCCAGCCCAUGGGGAGGCUGCACAGCCCGAAAAGCCCCCGCAAAGGGGGCAGAGGGCGAGGGCGGCGGGGAAGGGCCCGGCAGCAGCCCCCCAGGUGCCCCGGAGCCGCGGUGGCUUCCCGGCUGUCGGGAAGGGCGAGGGGCCGGGACGCCCGCGCCGGCAGCGCCCAGCUCUCGCGAGCGGUGGGUAAAGCAGCUCCCGCGCCGGCCCUGCCGCAGGUUGAGCCUUCGGGGCAGGUUAUUUAUUCCCUUUGCAUCGUCCUGUACAGUGAAUGCUAUUUUCCUCCUUCUAUUAUAUUCCUCGGAAGGUGUUUUUUCUAUUAGCGAUGUCUAUAAAAGCACUUAUUUUGUGUAACAGCCUGCAGGCUGCAUCCCAAAUAAACCGGGGGAGUUUACGCGGUUUAUUCAGUCUGUAAAGCCGGGAUGAAGCACCGUCCGCCCCGGCUUCGCCCCCCGGGGCCGCGCGAGGUGUUUCGGCGCGCACCGACCGCCGCCGGCAUCCCCGGGGCCGCGCUGCUCCCCGCGGGGUCCGCGCUGCCGAGAUGCCGCUGGCGAGGAAGGAUGAAGGCGACGCGGAGGAAUGCAAUAACGCUCUGCCUCGGGGCCGGGGGCAGCGCUAAGGCACCGGAUCCGGGAAUGAUGCGGGGUCCCGGGCAGCGCCGCGAGGCCGGGAGCCUGCCGGAGAGAUGACCCCGUCGCAGAAGGGACCUUUCGGGAGGAUGCCACGGUCAGGGGGAUACCUAGAACCAGCUUUCCCUUAAAAAUAAGGAAAAAAAAACCCUCUGCCCGGCGCUGGCUGCCCUGUGCUGCGUUUGCAGGCCGGACGGGUGUUUUGCCAAAGCCCUCCGCUGUCGUGCAAGCCAGGCAGCGAGCGCUCCCGGCUAUCCGAACGGCAGCGACGAUUUAUUCCCGAGCUGCAGCAAAGAGGAAUCUGCAAGCGGGGGGAGAGGAGGGGGAGCAAAGCACAACCUGAUCUUGUAAAAAGGCGCCUUGAAAAUACCAUGCGCCAGGGUCCUCGCACAAGCUUUUUAUUUACCAAUCUGCAGUCAGAAGAGGCGAAGGCAAUAACCGCAUGGCAUACGGGGAAAUGGGGGUAGGGAGGGUCCCUGAUAGUAAAAAAGAAUGGGUCUGAACAAAGGGAAAGGUUCUGCUAAACCGAUGAUGGCAGAUGGCAUCAGCCCCGCCAUGUUCCCCUUCAAUUGCGGGAAAAUACAGUAAAGCAAUUUAAUGAAAACGCUUAAAUAAGCAAACAGUGCAGUUAAUUGAACCCAUAUGUAUUAGGAAGGAAAUCUAAAGUAUACUGAUUCAUUAAGUUUUAUAUAACUGUAAACCCCCAGAACCUAAGAAAGAGUAAGAAGCCAUGAUGAAGUGCCAACUAGAAGGAGACCCUCUACCAAACUUCACUUCGCUCUGUUUUGUUAUGACAAGAACAAGUGGUUUUAACAAGUACACCAUAAAUCAGGAGCGCACACUCCAGCCUGGAGUCUUCCAGGUACCAAACUCUGCUAUAGACUUGCAUGCCUUCAUUUUCUGGUAGUUUUUUUUUUUUAUCUUCCAAGAUACAUAAAUAACUGGAACUUGGAUGCUGCCAUAUGCAAAGAAAACUAGUAGAGAAGUCUCUGAGGUCUUUACUUAUUUUAUUCAAGCAAAACUUCCAGUGGUAUCUAGAGGAUGUCUCCUGAGGCAUGUGUAACUGGGGGUCACGGGCUCUGGUCCAUCUUUCAUUCCUGAAACAAAACCUUUGCCUGUGCAGCGAGCGUGCCUCGCCAGUCAUGGCUUUUUGGGUAGAAAAUUGCUCAAGAUGGAAAAUCCAGGCUGGGAAAGACUCAGCAGACUUGCUGCCAAACAGACUGGUUUGCUUGAUAGAGUUUCUGCCAUAGAUUCAGUUUAAAAACUGUCCAGAAGCAAAAUGUUGAGGAGAAAGCAGUCAUGGUCCCAUCGAAGCAAGUGCAGAAAAGUUCCCUUUUAUCACAGCAAGGCCAGAACCUCACCUGCAGACCAGGGUAGCUUUGGAGAGCCCUGGUUUUGGAUUCAAUAGGUGCGUUUUGGGGUUGGGGUGAUCACAUUUGCUGCUUGCUUUUACUGGGCUCCUCUUGGCUCACGGAGCAGGAUCGGCAGCACCUGCUCCGUUUUCACAGCAAUCUGGGUGACCUCAAACAAAAGCCAACAAACGAAAGAUGAGGAUUCGAUCCCAAAGCCCAGAAAGGGUUGAGAGCUGGGCCCUGAGGGUUUCCAGCGAUGCUGAUCUCACGUGCCACUGAGUGACCGUACAGGAAGCCUUCGGCUGGAAAGGAAGGUGGUCUACAGCCAGGGCGCAACGUCUUAGGCUACGACUGCAAAGGCGUUUCAGGGCACCCAGGCUGGCCAGGGAGGUCUUCAGCGACUCCUGAAGACCCACAGGCCUUUCCCACGCACGCACACGCAACACGGCGCGUGGGGGAUAUAACAGGAGAAGCAGCUGCAAAAGCAAGCGGUUACGGAUUGCGUUUUCAUGCAUUGAGGUUGACCAGGGAGGCUAAAUCGUUGCAUGGUGCAUGUCUGGGUGCUCAGGACUUAAAGAAAAAAAUAAUAAAACAAAAGCACAAAAAAAGCAAGCCUGUCUAAUGAAUAUACAAAAUAUUACUGAACAAUGUCUCAAUUUAAAAAAAAACAAUAAGAAUAAAGGCACCGAAGGCCCCUACGGGGAACCGCACAUGACGGUGGCGGGGGCCUGGCCCCCGUUCCUGUCCCCGCACGGUGGUGGUGGGCACAUAGGGGUCCUGGGCAGGUGGGGAGGCCCUACUGCAAAGCAGCCGCAGCCCCCCCGGGAGCAGAGAUGCCCCUGGGCCAGUGCUGGAGCCCCUGCUCGGCUUUCGGGACGUCAGGCUCUGUUAGGGUUAGAGUGCGUUAGGGAGACAGCGGUAGCGUUGACGGAUUGGCCCCGAUUCAACAAAGCACUUAAGCACAAGCUUAACUGUAAGUACGUACUUAAGUCCCUCCUUAUACAGCAGAACAUAUGUUGACGCCCUGCCGAAGUCAGCUUUAAGUGCAUGCUUAAAGUUAAGUGUCUGCUUAAGUGCUUUGUUGAAUCAGGGCUGUUGUUUACUUCCAGCAAUUGAUGUCUCCUGGAAUAUCCACAUCUCUGGUUGCGAACCUGACACAUCUGUUUUCUCUUAACAUUAUUAAUAGAGCCAUUCUUUACAAAAAUACACGACUGCACGAUCCUUAAAAAUCUGCGAUCGCUGCAUUCCAGAAGUGCAAGUGACCUGCAAGUCCCGAGCGUGUCCGUAUAGAGCCCAUGCGUUUUCCUCACGGGUGAUACUUCUUUUAUUAAAUCUAGAGAGUUCCUAAAGAAGCAACAAGGUUACAAAACAACAUGGCAUAGCAGAACAUACAUACGAUCUGAAUCUUGGCGAGAGAAAAAAGUGUUACUUAUGUCGAGAAACCCCAAACUGCAAAAGAUGACUGGAGUACCAUCUUGUAAAUUAAAAUGAAAUUCUUACUGUAAAUAGGUAUUAAAUUAGUAUAUACCUACGUGUAAGUAACACAAAUACAGAACUCUUCUCAUAAAUAGCGGUGUUGAGAAACGAGGAACCGGGCAGAGCGCUGGAGCACAGCUCACCACCGCCGGCAGGCAGCAGCAGGGACAGCUUGCCGGAACGGAGAUGACUCCCAGCGCGGGGACAUGCCACUGCCCCGGGGACCGAGCCACCGUGCAAACCACGCUCCUCAUUAAAACAACCGUGGAGACGUGUCCGGGAAGGAACCGGCAGCUGUAAGGGAUGGGUAAGGCACAGCACAACAUCUCGCACCUCUGCUCAACUUCUCUUUUUUUUGUAUUUUUGCAUGCUUCAGGGUCUCUGCUGCACCGCUCGCUGCGGUGCCCGGGGCCGGUGUCCCCCCGCGGGCUGCGGCUCUGCCAGGGCAGAUUUCGGCAGCGGCCGUGGCCGUGUCCAACGGGGCAGUCGUGCCGCCCUGCUCCGCUCCGCAGCCCGGCUGCAGUUUCCCCGGAUCCGUCCUCGGCCCCCGCCGCCCUGCCGGGCGGUCUCCCGGCCACGCUGGAGACUCAGACCACAACCGAAGGAAAUCGCUAAACUGAAUUGCUCCAAAGAGGCCCCAAGUCCUCCGUGUCGGACCGGCUGGACACCCGAAGCCGGCCGCUGCUCCGCUCCCGGAGGCGGGCUUCACGUCUCCGUCGCUGCCUUGGGAGGCCGGAGCCAGGAUCCGAGGCGCUCUCCCUCGCUGAUGCCCUCGAGGAAAGGAGCAUCUCUGCAAGCAGCUCCCGCUCCGCAUCUCUGCUUGGAGCCAUCCCUGACGCCGGCGCUUGGCUCUGACUCACGGGCGAGAGGGCAGGUUCCAACAGCGGCGGCAGCCCCUGCCAAGGCAGCGCUGGCUCCCGGCGUCGCGGCCCGAACCUCGCUGGGAAACUUCCUCCAGCUCAGCUUGUGCUGCCUGCUGUCAAGCAGCCGAGGCUCCAGCUGCGGCAGCCCGGGGUGAUCCGCAGCGUUCCCAGGACGGGGCAUGCGUCGGGAGGUGCGUAGCAGACGGAGCACUCCGGCUAGUUUGCAAACAGCUCCCCGGCACCACAGAAUGGCUUUUGCACCACAGCCCAGAGAGCACGGAUACUGCUUUUGCACUUCCCUCGGUGCCUCACGGUUAGACAGUACUGGGAGACCCUUUCAGAGAGGUCGAACAUGAAAACAUGCAGCAGAAACCCACCUCAGCCUGAUCACCUAAGGCUUUUCCUCCUGCCACCGUGAUUCCACAUCACAUUUGCUGAUUAUUAAAACUGCAAAGUCUCUCUCCAAAUAUUCCUUCUCCAAGUAUUGCAGUCUGCCUUCAGGUCUUCUCAAUGUUUAUUUGCAAGAGCGAAGUUUUAAAAGCCCAGAAAAAUAUGAAACAUUUGCAAACGUUUUUCUCGCCCUCAUGAACUAGCAGAAAUGCAGUUCCUCUGGUGCUCACCUGCCUGCGCCCGGAGUCAGGGCAAUGUGUUUCUCCUACAGCUGAUAGUAUCAGCAGGAAAAUCCUUUCCACUCCCUGUGUUUUUCUGGGGUUGCAAUUCCAACAAGCCUUAUAGCGGCUUGGCAGUACAGUAAAUAAGAAACAGAUUUCCCAGUGUUUUGUUUUACCAUUUUCUCUUUUGUAGAGGCUAAGCGCAGACGCAGGUCUGGACUCCCAGAGGUCUCCGCUUGGAUUGCCCAUGCUGGACCCACGGGUAAUAACCGUGCCGUGAGGCAGCCGCCAAGCGUGGGCCCAGUUUGCUAGGCGAAUAUGUCCGAGGAGAGGGCAUUAUCUGCACUGGGAACUAAUCAGGACAACAGAAGUGCACAUGCAUUUGUUCAGAAGCGCAGAUUUGGGUGGAAAACUGGAUAGAAAGUAAGACCUGCGGGGCAUACCCCGUGUCACGGAUGGUAGUGAUCCGUCCACUGAAAACGCUUGUUCUCUGAGCCAGAAGAAACAGCCAGUUUCUGUGCUGACUUGAGAUCUUACAUUGCCUCCCACCGCUGCUGUCCUCAAUUUUUUCCCAUGUGUUCACAACAGCAUCGGUGGAUGUGGUAGCGCAGAUGUGGAAGGGCCCAGCCUUACCUUGCUGCUUUCUGCAGUUUCCAGAGCUAAGCUGCAGUCUGCAGGACAUGGCAUGAAGGGAAACGGCAACGCAGGAAAAGGCGAUUCUCUGCAAAGCAGUUGCAUGCGAGAGCCCGGUCACAUCUGUGAACAUUAAUGUCACAAAAACUUGGGGACUGGUUUUGAGACAUUAAUGUCUCAAAACUGUGGGACUGGUUCUCUUCCUGUGCCAACAUCCGCCCAGAACAGCUUAAUCAAUUGGAUUAUGUGUGGUGUACAGGCACGCAAGGGAAGCAUGAACCGAAUGAUUCAUCUUUCAGCCAGGUAGUUAGGCCUAUUACAACAGAAACCCCGUUUGCGGUCUCUUCUUAAUCUCCUAACUGGACUCGUCGCUCUUUGGACCCAGGGACAUGCCCACUGAUUUCAACCCCUCCGUUACAGUAUUUCUCGCAGCUGAGGUGGGCAGUGGAGGAAUGGACUGGGCCUCGCGAUGUUUGUGUGUCAAUGGUAUCAAACUGGUAUCAAAUACAGCAUCAGCCUAAAGCUUAGCUUAAGCAGGAAGACGGUGGACUCCUCACAGUAUCAUAUUUUGGGAACAAAAUAGCAGCUACCUUACCUUGCCUCUCAGCCACGCGGUCAUCACUGAGGUCACUUCUGUAUCCACGUCCCCCUGUCACGCAGUAACGCUGAUAUCAUCAUUGCUCAGGGUCCGCAGCUCUGGAGGAAGCCAGCGUGAUGACAUCUCCAGGGAAGCCUCUAGAAAAGACCAGCCUCUGGUAUCUAUGUGAAAGCCUCCAAAUUUUGUUAUCCUCAUAAAUGAAGUUUCUCUUUUAAAUGCAAUGUUUCACACAUUGCACAUUUGGUUUUGGAAUACAUCAGUCAGUUAAUGAGGUUAGAUUAGUCCUGCAUUUGUUUCAGCCCGCGCCAGCAGUGGCAGUAAUAACAGUGAUCCAACCACUAACAUUAACAUGCCUUUAAGCGCCCCUGUAAUCUGUUGCGUAAGGUUGACUUGCAAAGCAGGCAGAGAAAUUGCUUGCUUAUGCUUAUUAUAAAAUUGCUGCUCCAAUGCGUACCACAGUGCACGGUAAUUUCAGAGGAUCACAGAGGCAAAACAGAAGCAGGAUUUUCGUUGGAGACUUUCAAACGUGUCUAGAGGCUUCAGGAGCUGAUGCUGGCAUAGGCCGAGUUCCCAGCUAUCAUUUUAUCUACAAAUUUGCUUUGCUAUUAGAGCCGUUGCUUCCAAUGCACCCAGCGAGGCUGGGCAAAAAACAGCCCAGAUGCAAUCGGUGCCAAGGCUGGAAGAGGCGAUUCCCCCUCCUGGGAGGGCUCCAUGUGUGUCCCCCCCCCCAAACUGGGCUCCCAGCUGGCUCCCUGGCCAUGGCACCUCUUAGGCAGGCGUCUCGCCAGCCUGCUCGGGCGUGCCGGAGCUCGGCCACGUUUCUGCAGCCUGAAAGCCAGCGUGGGCACGAGCUGGCAAGCAAAAAUGCCCAGGCAGCUUCAGAGACCAGCCCAGUGGGUAUCCGAAAACUCGCCCCUCUCAGAGCUUGCAGCCACGGACACGUACACGUGCAGCCUAGGACUGUAUAGCAAUGCUCACGGAAAAGUAAGUUGUGGCAGGGGAAGGUUUUAUAUUAAAUAGACAAAACCCUAUUGGGCUUAUGACAAAAUCAGCAUCACCCUGUCUAGUAACUUAGGAAGUAAUUAAGAGCAGUUUUAUAGGUACAAGAUCCCGCUGUGCAAAAGACUAGUAAAACCGCGUCCGAGUCUUCUGAGCGAAGCGUGCAAGGAUGCGUGUGACACGGGGGCUGAGCUCACACGCAGGCGUCCCCGCGCCUGCUCAUCCGCCGCCUCCUCCGGCUCGAGAGCCAUCAGGGGCACGUUGCCUGGGACCGACUCACCUCUCGCGCCCACCCGCUGCACGUGCAGGCACGACUCCCUCCUUUUCGGAGGAGCAAAGGUCCAUACCAUGUCCAAACCAAAAAAGAGGGCCCGAACAGCUAGAUCAAGAUUUGCUAAAUUAAGGUGGAUCAAGGCUUUGGAGGCCUCCUUUGGGACAUGUCUAUGGAAGGGCGUUCCCUGGCCCAUGGCCUGGUCAUCUAAAAUCUCCAAGCCCAGCAUCCAGAAGUGAAGGCAACCAACAAGAGCUGGCCAUUUCUCCGGAUCCAGGCUUUUGAUUUUAAUAUUUUAACGCUAGCAGAACAAGCAGAAGGCUGUUCCCAUAAUGCCAGGACAAAAGGCAACGACGGAGGCCACCAAGCCAUGAGGUCCUUGCCCUCUCCUUGCAGCACAGCCGUGGAGACCAGCACUUAGCUAGACCAGCACCGGGUGCUCAAGAAUGAGCCUCAUGUUGACAGAACAAAGCAACAAUUUUACAAUGUCAGUUUAAACCAUUAAUAAUAGUCUGUACAAACCCUUGCAAGCUUCCAAUGCUAUGUAAACAGAAGUGAAUUAAAAUUAUUUUUUCCA